AUUGAACGCUGGCGGCAGGCCUAACACAUGCAAGUCGAACGAGUGGCGGACGGGUGAGUAAUGUCUGGGAAACUGCCCGAUGGAGGGGGAUAACUACUGGAAACGGUAGCUAAUACCGCAUACCAUCGGAUGUGCCCAGAUGGGAUUAGCUUGUAGGUGAGGUAACGGCGGACCAAGGCAACGAUCCCUAGCUGGUAUGAGAGGAUGACCAGCCACACUGGAACUGAGACACGGUCCAGACUCCGCCGGGGGGCAGCAGUGGGGAAUAUUGCGCAAUGGGCGAAAGCCUGAUGCAGCCAUGCCGCGUGUAUGAAGAAGGCCUUCGGGUUGUAAAGUACUUUCAGCGGGGAGACGUUACCCGCUGAAGAAGCACCGGCUAACUCCGUGCCAGCAGCCGCGGUAAUAC
rnacentral:rRNA from 1 species